CGCGUGGACCCACCCACUUGGGCUUCGCAAUAAACUCCGCGGCGCGAUCCCGGUGGUGGUGAUCUUCGCUUUGAAGUGGUGUUCUCUUAAGUGAGAUGUGGAACAAUGGGCUCACUUUCUCCUGUCGACCUAGAUCGGCACUGUGAAGAAGCAAGGAAGCCCGAAUGGGAAACAUAGUUUCAAAGAAAACAUUCUAAGAUACCACAUCCAGUUCAUAAAUAAAGCAUCUUAAUACCUCACAA